UUACUAUACACUGUGUAUCCUCCGAACUCGGGAGUGCGCCCCUGCAGCCCGGACCCGGUACUGCAUCCGCGUCAUCGAAAAUUUGCAUAUUUUACACUUGUGUAAGUUUGGAGGCCGCUGAUUGGCUAGAUCGGCACCGGAGGGCGGGAAAUCGCGAAAACAAAAUGGCGGCGGUGGGCGGGGCUACAUUCUGCCGCUAAUAGCUCCGUACAACGAGGCAAGGGUGUCGGUUUGUAACUUCCUGUUUGGACCGGACGCAAUCUGUGCACCUGAAGUGAAGACAUCUGCGGUGUGAAGCUGUUGGAGACAACUAUUAUAUGAAAGCAGACACAGAGGAUGGCUGAAGGUGCGAGGCGAAGGAGAAAGCUGAGGCCAUACAGUGUUCACUUCAACAGAAAGACCAGAAUGGGCUCAAGGGCAGGUUCAUCACUGAUCUUAAAGGUGACUCUGAAGAAGGACCGGUUACUAUUGGAUGAUCAGGACUGUGUUGAGUAGAUGUCACCUGUCAAAGAGCAUGUGUUGAAUGAGGAGCAGAGCUUUUUUGUCCCCGCUGAAGGAGUUAAGGAGAUGAGAUCAACAUGACAGAUUCUGAUGACGCUGAUCCUGAAGAAAGUGAAUCUGAUGAUGAGGCUCUUGCUGGAGCUGCGGGAGACUCCAGUAAUGCUGGUGUUCAGAAGAUGCCCAUUGAGAGCACCACUGAAGUUCCUGAAGAGAGUGAGAGUGAGGCAGAAACUGAAAACACACGGAGAGGGCAGAAAGUGUCCUGGUCAAACACUGAAGUUACAGCUGUAAUCAAACAUUUUAAGGACCACAGAGCAAAAGGAAACUG